rnacentral:rRNA from 1 species
GACGAACGCUGGCGGCGUGCUUAACACAUGCAAGUCGUACGGUAAGGCCCUUUCGGGGGUCCACGAGUGGCGAACGGGUGAGUAACACGUGAGUAACCUGCCCACAACUUUGGGACAACGAUAGGAAACUGGAGCUAAUACUGGAUAUGUGCUCCUGCUGCAUGGUGGGGGUUGGAAAGCUCCGGCGGUUGUGGAUGGACUCGCGGCCUAUCAGCUUGUUGGUGGGGUAGUGGCCUACCAAGGCGGCGACGGGUAGCCGGCCUGAGGGGGUGACCGGCCACAUUGGGACUGAGAUACGGCCCAGACUCCUACGGGAGGCAGCAGUGGGGAAUAUUGCACAAUGGGCGCAAGCCUGAUGCAGCAGCGCCGCGUGCGGGAUGACGGCCUUCGGGUUGUAAACCGCUUUCAGCAGGGACGAAGCUUUUUGUGACGGUACCUGCAGAAGAAGCACCGGCUAACUACGUG